rnacentral:rRNA from 1 species
UUAAGCGACUAAGCGUACACGGUGGAUGCCCUGGCAGUCAGAGGCGAUGAAGGACGUGCUAAUCUGCGAAAAGCGUCGGUAAGGUGAUAUGAACCGUUAUAACCGGCGAUGUCCGAAUGGGGAAACCCAGUGCAAUUCGUUGCACUAUCGUUAACUGAAUACAUAGGUUAACGAGGCGAACCGGGGGAACUGAAACAUCUAAGUACCCCGAGGAAAAGAAAUCAACCGAGAUUCCCCCAGUAGCGGCGAGCGAACGGGGAGCAGCCCAGAGUCUGAAUCAGCUUGUGUGUUAGUGGAACGGUCUGGAAAGUCCGACGGUACAGGGUGAUAGUCCCGUACACCAAAAUGCACAGGUUGUGAACUCGAAGAGUAGGGCGGGACACGUGGUAUCCUGUCUGAAUAUGGGGGGACCAUCCUCCAAGGCUAAAUACUCCUGACUGACCGAUAGUGAACCAGUACCGUGAGGGAAAGGCGAAAAGAACCCCGGCGAGGGGAGUGAAAAAGAACCUGAAACCGUGUACGUACAAGCAGUGGGAGCACCUUCGGGUGUGACUGCGUACCUUUUGUAUAAUGGGUCAGCGACUUAUAUUCUGUAGCAAGGUUAACCGUAUAGGGGAGCCGCAGGGAAACCGAGUCUUAACUGGGCGUUAAGUUGCAGGGUAUAGACCCGAAACCCGGUGAUCUAGCCAUGGGCAGGUUGAAGGUUGGGUAACACUAACUGGAGGACCGAACCGACUAAUGUUGAAAAAUUAGCGGAUGACUUGUGGCUGGGGGUGAAAGGCCAAUCAAACCGGGAGAUAGCUGGUUCUCCCCGAAAGCUAUUUAGGUAGCGCCUCGUGAACUCAUCUUCGGGGGUAGAGCACUGUUUCGGCUAGGGGGUCAUCCCGACUUACCAACCCGAUGCAAACUACGAAUACCGAAGAAUGUUAUCACGGGAGACACACGGCGGGUGCUAACGUCCGUCGUGAAGAGGGAAACAACCCAGACCGCCAGCUAAGGUCCCAAAGUCAUGGUUAAGUGGGAAACGAUGUGGGAAGGCACAGACAGCCAGGAUGUUGGCUUAGAAGCAGCCAUCAUUUAAAGAAAGCGUAAUAGCUCACUGGUCGAGUCGGCCUGCGCGGAAGAUGUAACGGGGCUAAACCAUGCACCGAAGCUGCGGCAGCGACACUAUGUGUUGUUGGGUAGGGGAGCGUUCUGUAAGCCUGCGAAGGUGUGCUGUGAGGCAUGCUGGAGGUAUCAGAAGUGCGAAUGCUGACAUAAGUAACGAUAAAGCGGGUGAAAAGCCCGCUCGCCGGAAGACCAAGGGUUCCUGUCCAACGUUAAUCGGGGCAGGGUGAGUCGACCCCUAAGGCGAGGCCGAAAGGCGUAGUCGAUGGGAAACAGGUUAAUAUUCCUGUACUUGGUGUUACUGCGAAGGGGGACGGAGAAGGCUAUGUUAGCCGGGCGACGGUUGUCCCGGUUUAAGCAUGUAGGCUGAUUGUCCAGGCAAAUCCGGAUAAUCAAGGCUGAGGUGUGAUGACGAGGCACUACGGUGCUGAAGUAACAAAUGCCCUGCUUCCAGGAAAAGCCUCUAAGCAUCAGGUAACAUCAAAUCGUACCCCAAACCGACACAGGUGGUCAGGUAGAGAAUACCAAGGCGCUUGAGAGAACUCGGGUGAAGGAACUAGGCAAAAUGGUGCCGUAACUUCGGGAGAAGGCACGCUGGUGUGUAGGUGAAGCCCCUGCGGGUGGAGCUGAGACCAGUCGAAGAUACCAGCUGGCUGCAACUGUUUAUUAAAAACACAGCACUGUGCAAACACGAAAGUGGACGUAUACGGUGUGACGCCUGCCCGGUGCCGGAAGGUUAAUUGAUGGGGUUAUCCGUAAGGAGAAGCUCUUGAUCGAAGCCCCGGUAAACGGCGGCCGUAACUAUAACGGUCCUAAGGUAGCGAAAUUCCUUGUCGGGUAAGUUCCGACCUGCACGAAUGGCGUAAUGAUGGCCAGGCUGUCUCCACCCGAGACUCAGUGAAAUUGAACUCGCUGUGAAGAUGCAGUGUACCCGCGGCAAGACGGAAAGACCCCGUGAACCUUUACUAUAGCUUGACACUGAACAUUGAGCCUUGAUGUGUAGGAUAGGUGGGAGGCUUUGAAGCGUGGACGCCAGUCUGCGUGGAGCCAACCUUGAAAUACCACCCUUUAAUGUUUGAUGUUCUAACGUUGGCCCCUGACCGGGGUUGCGGACAGUGUCUGGUGGGUAGUUUGACUGGGGCGGUCUCCUCCCAAAGCGUAACGGAGGAGCACGAAGGUUAGCUAAUCCUGGUCGGACAUCAGGAGGUUAGUGCAAUGGCAUAAGCUAGCUUGACUGCGAGCGUGACGGCGCGAGCAGGUGCGAAAGCAGGUCAUAGUGAUCCGGUGGUUCUGAAUGGAAGGGCCAUCGCUCAACGGAUAAAAGGUACUCCGGGGAUAACAGGCUGAUACCGCCCAAGAGUUCAUAUCGACGGCGGUGUUUGGCACCUCGAUGUCGGCUCAUCACAUCCUGGGGCUGAAGUAGGUCCCAAGGGUAUGGCUGUUCGCCAUUUAAAGUGGUACGCGAGCUGGGUUUAGAACGUCGUGAGACAGUUCGGUCCCUAUCUGCCGUGGGCGCUGGAGAAUUGAGGGGGGCUGCUCCUAGUACGAGAGGACCGGAGUGGACGCAUCACUGGUGUUCGGGUUGUCAUGCCAAUGGCACUGCCCGGUAGCUAAAUGCGGAAGAGAUAAGUGCUGAAAGCAUCUAAGCACGAAACUUGCCCCGAGAUGAGUUCUCCCUGAGACUUUAAGUCUCCUGAAGGAACGUUGAAGACGACGACGUUGAUAGGCCGGGUGUGUAAGCGCAGCGAUGCGUUGAGCUAACCGGUACUAAUGAACCGUGAGGCUUAACCUU